UACGGAGGGGGCUAGCGUUGUUCGGAAUUACUGGGCGUAAAGCGCACGUAGGCGGCUUUCUAAGUCAGGGGUGAAAUCCUGGAGCUCAACUCCAGAACUGCCUUUGAUACUGGAGAGCUUGAGUCCGGAAGAGGUGAGUGGAACUCCGAGUGUAGAGGUGAAAUUCGUAGAUAUUCGGAAGAACACCAGUGGCGAAGGCGGCUCACUGGUCCGGUACUGACGCUGAUGUGCGAAAAGCGUGGGGAGCAAACAGG
rnacentral:rRNA from 1 species